UACGUAGGGCGCAAGCGUUGUCCGGAAUUAUUGGGCGUAAAGAGCUCGUAGGCGGCUUGUCACGGCGGUUGUGAAAGCCCGGGGCUUAACCCCGGGUCUGCAUUCGAUACGGGCUAGCUAGAGUGUGGUAGGGGAGAUCGGAAUUCCUGGUGUAGCGGUGAAAUGCGCAGAUAUCAGGAGGAACACCGGUGGCGAAGGCGGAUCUCUGGGCCAUUACUGACGCUGAGGAGCGAAAGCGUGGGGAGCGAACAGG
rnacentral:rRNA from 1 species